rnacentral:rRNA from 1 species
UACGUAGGGUGCGAGCGUUGUCCGGAAUUAUUGGGCGUAAAGAGCUCGUAGGCGGUCUGUCGCGUCUGCUGUGAAAACCCGAGGCUCAACCUCGGGCCUGCAGUGGGUACGGGCAGACUAGAGUGCGGUAGGGGAGAAUGGAACUCCUGGUGUAGCGGUGGAAUGCGCAGAUAUCAGGAAGAACACCGAUGGCGAAGGCAGUUCUCUGGGCCGUAACUGACGCUGGAGGAGCGAA